ACGGGAGGCAGCAGUGAGGAAUAUUGGUCAAUGGACGGAAGUCUGAACCAGCCAAGUAGCGUGCAGGAUGACGGCCCUAUGGGUUGUAAACUGCUUUUAUAUGUGAAUAAAGUGAAGUACGUGUACUUUUUUGCAGGUAACAUAUGAAUAAGGACCGGCUAAUUCCGUGCCAGCAGCCGCGGUAAUACGGAAGGUCCGGGCGUUAUCCGGAUUUAUUGGGUUUAAAGGGAGCGUAGGCGGCUUGUUAAGCGUGCUGUGAAAUGUAGAUGCUCAACAUCUGAACUGCAGCGCGAACUGGCGAGCUUGAGUGCGCGGGAAGUUGGCGGAAUUCGUCGUGUAGCGGUGAAAUGCUUAGAUAUGACGAAGAACUCCGAUUGCGAAGGCAGCUGACUGUAGCGUUACUGACGCUGAAGCUCGAAAGUGCGGGUAUCGAACAGGAUUAGAUACCCUGGUA
rnacentral:rRNA from 1 species